rnacentral:rRNA from 1 species
AAGCAUAUCAAUAAGCGGAGGAAAAGAAACCAACAGGGAUUGCCCCAGUAACGGCGAGUGAAGCGGCAACAGCUCAAAUUUGAAAUCUGGCUUCGGCCCGAGUUGUAAUUUGUAGAGGAUGCUUCUGGCGCGGUGCCUUCCGAGUUCCCUGGAACGGGACGCCAUAGAGGGUGAGAGCCCCGUAUGGAUGGAUACCUAGCCUGUGUGAAGCUCCUUCGACGAGUCGAGUAGUUUGGGAAUGCUGCUCAAAAUGGGAGGUAUAUCUCUUCUAAAGCUAAAUACCGGCCAGAGACCGAUAGCGCACAAGUAGAGUGAUCGAAAGAUGAAAAGCACCUUGAAAAGGGGGUUAAACAGCACGUGAAAUUGUUGAAAGGGAAGCGCCCAUGACCAGACUUGUGCCCGGCGGAUCACCCAGCGUUCUCGCUGGGGCACUCCGCCGGGUCCAGGCCAGCAUCGGUUUUCGCCGGGGGAUAAAGGCUCUGGGAACGUAGCUCCUCCGGGAGUGUUAUAGCCCUCUGCGUAAUACCCUGGCGGGGACCGAGGUACGCGCUCCGCAAGGAUGCUGGCGUAAUGGUCAUCAGCGACCCGUCUUGAAACACGGAUCAAGGAGUCGUCCAUUAGAGCGAGCGUUUGGGUGUUAAACCCGCACGCGUAAUGAAAGUGAACGUAGGUGAGAGCUUCGGCGCAUCAUCGACCGAUCCUGAUGUCCUCGGAUGGAUUUGAGUAUGAGUUUUACUGGACGGACCCGAAAGAUGGUGAACUAUGCCUGUAUAGGGUGAAGCCAGAGGAAACUCUGGUGGAGGCUCGCAGCGGUUCUGACGUGCAAAUCGAUCGUCAAAUAUGGGCAUGGGGGCGAAAGACUAAUCGAACCAUCUAGUAGCUGGUUACCGCCGAAG